CCUACGGGGGGCAGCAGUGGGGAAUAUUGCGCAAUGGGCGAAAGCCUGACGCAGCGAUGCCGCGUGAGGGAUGAAGGUCUUCGGAUCGUAAACCUCUGUCAGCAGGGAAGAACGGUCACUGUGCUAAUCAGCAGUGAAUUGACGGUACCUGCAAAGGAAGCACCGGCUAACUCCGUGCCAGCAGCCGCGGUAAUACGGAGGGUGCGAGCGUUAAUCGGAAUUACUGGGCGUAAAGCGCUCGUAGGCGGUAUGUCAAGUCAAGGGUGAAAUCCCCGCGCUCAACGUGGGAACUGCCUUUGAAACUGGCAAACUGGAGUGUGUGAGAGGAUAGUGGAAUUCCAGGUGUAGGAGUGAAAGCCGUAGAUAUCUGGAGGAACAUCAGUGGCGAAGGCGACUAUCUGGCACAUAACUGACGCUCAUGCACGAAAGCGUGGGUAUCGAACAGGAUUAGAUACCCCGGUAGUC
rnacentral:rRNA from 1 species